rnacentral:rRNA from 1 species
UUCCGGUUGAUCCUGCCGGACCUGACUGCUAUCGGAUUGAUACUAAGCCAUGCGAGUCAUUGUAGCAAUACAAGGCAGACGGCUCAGUAACGCGUAGUCAACCUAACCUAUGGACGGGAAUAACCUCGGGAAACUGAGAAUAAUGCCCGAUAGAACACUAUACCUGGAAUGGUUUGUGUUCCAAAUGAUUUAUCGCCGUAGGAUGGGACUGCGGCCUAUCAGUUUGUUGGUGAGGUAAUGGCCCACCAAGACUAUUACAGGUACGGGCUCUGAGAGGAGUAGCCCGGAGAUGGGUACUGAGACACGGACCCAGGCCCUAUGGGGCGCAGCAGGCGAGAAAACUUUGCAAUGUGCGAAAGCACGACAAGGUUAAUCCGAGUGAUUUGUGCUAAACGAAUCUUUUG